rnacentral:rRNA from 1 species
CAUCACUACGCUAGAUGCAUAUCAAUAAGCGGAGGAAAAGGAACUAACAAGGAUUCCCUUAGUAACGGCGAGUGAAGCGGGAAGAGCUCAAAUUUGAAAUCUUAAAGGGUUUCCCUUUACGAAUUGUAGUUUAAAGAAGUGUUUUCUGUUGGAGUUUCGGUAAAAGUUCUUUGGAAUAGGACAUCAUAGAGGGUGAGAAUCUCGUAUUUGACCGUUACUUUCCAGCUGUGUGAUACACUUUCAAAGAGUCGGAUUGUUUGGGAAUGCAGUCCAAGAUGGGUGGUAAAUUUCAUCUAAAGCUAAAUAUUGGCGAGAGACCGAUAGCGAACAAGUACCGUGAGGGAAAGAUGAAAAGAACUUUGAAAAGAGAGUUAAACAGUACGUGAAAUUGUCAAAAGGGAAGCGUUUGAUCACCAGUGUUGUUUUCUCGAAAAUCAAUUAAAAAUGAUGGGAUUUUGUGUUGUAUUGACUUUAUCAGCUUUCUGCACUUUUUUCUUAUCUUUUUUAAUGCACUUUUCGUUUAACAAGUCAACAUCAGUUUCUUUUGUUGUAAAAGGGUCAUUGGAAGGUGGCUUUCUUUUCGGAGAAAGUGUUUAUAGCCUUUGAUCUCUGCAACCGGAGAGACUGAGGUCUGCAGCGUAGACUCUUCGGGGUUAAAUACAUUUGCGCUAAGCUAUAGCUUUUUAUAGACAACUUGUUGACUAUAUUUAGUCUUGUGGCUUACUCGCUUAUGCUAUUUUACCUACGCUUAGGAUGUUGA